AUGCUCUUGCUAACCUCAGAUUCCCUCUCAGUAUUGGAAUGUAUUGUAAUAGUUUUUGCGGCCUGUUGUAGCGCGGCAGGUUGUUUUGUUCCGGCGUUGCGGAGAGAGGUGCUUGUGUGAUUUCCCCCACCAGUGAGAGUAUAGCGCCUCCGGUCCUGGGGUAAGCUGUUCAAACUAUUUUUAUUAGCAUUCACAGCUACCAGAGGCUAAGGUUACAUUUAUCUGUUUUAGGGUUGGAGCGCUGCCUUCACCUCCGUGGCAACUCACACAGCCUUAAGUGAAGAAUCAAGACACCUGCCUAGCCGUUGUUGUGAGGGCUCCUCCUCAGUGGAGCCUGCUGUCUUGUCUUGUCUUGUCUUGUCUUGUCUUGUCUUGUCUUGUCUUGUCUGGUUUUGAAUUGUUUUAUCGUGUCUUAUCUUGUUUUAUUAAGUAGGCCUACCAUUUCCUGGUUCGCCUGGUUUUAUUUUAUUUUAUUUCUGAACUGUGGCGUGUGCCCACGCUUCUGUGAUCGGGCUGAAGCCAUUCUUUGCCCGAGUGUCGUGCCGGGGAUUUUAAAUUGCCCCCGUUGCUGGUCUUAGCCUGUGGGGAGCCAGACCAGCUCGCGAUUGAGGCUGGGACCAUUACUACCAGUACGAGUGGACCCGUGGGGCACAAGCCUUCCUGUGUGUGUGUGUGUGUGUGUGUGUGUGUGUGUGGUUUCUUUUAUUAAAGUGUGUUUUAGUUCUUUUUAUCAUCUGUAGCGAGCCUGACGCUCAGUGUCCUUUUAUUCUUUUAACAUAUUUUUCUGUGUUUUCUUUUAGUGAACGGAGGACGUACCAGUGGCCCUGGGACCUUAGGUGGGUUGGAGCGCUGCCUUCACCUCCGUGGCAACUCACACAGCCUUAAGUGAAGAAUCAAGACACCUGCCUAGCCGUUGUUGUGAGGGCUCCUCCUCAGUGGAGCCUGCUGUCUUGUCUUGUCUUGUCUUGUCUUGUCUUGUCUGGUUUUGAAUUGUUUUAUCGUGUCUUAUCUUGUUUUAUUAAGUAGGCCUACCAUUUCCUGGUUCGCCUGGUUUUAUUUUAUUUUAUUUCUGAACUGUGGCGUGUGCCCA
rnacentral:lncRNA from 1 species